rnacentral:rRNA from 1 species
GAAUCUUCCGCAAUGGACGAAAGUCUGACGGAGCCACGCCGCGUGAGUGAUGAAGGUUUUCGGAUCGUAAAACUCUGUUGCCAGGGGAGAACACUUAGGAGAGUGACUGCUCUUAUGGUUACGGUACGUGUGAAGAAAGCACCGGCUAACUCCGUGCCAGCAGCCGCGGUAAUACGUAGGGGGCAAGCGUUGUCCGGAAUUAUUGGGCGUAAAGCGCGCGCAGGCGGUCAUUGAAGUUGGGUGUUUAAUUCCAGGGCUCAACCCUGGGUCGAACUGAAAACUGGGUGACUUGAGUACAGAAGAGGAGAGUGGAAUUCCACGUGUAGCGGUGAAAUGCGUAGAUAUGUGGAGGAACACCAGUGGCGAAGGCGACUCUCUGGGCUGUAACUGACGCUGAGGCGCGAAAGCGUGGGUAGCAAACA